rnacentral:rRNA from 1 species
AACGAACGCUGGCGGCAGGCCCAAAACAUGCAAGUUGAGCGGCUACUUCGGUAGCAGCAGCGCACGGGUGAGUAACACGUGGGAACGUGCCCCUGGGUGCGGGACAACGUCUGGAAACGGACGCUAAUACCGCAUAAUGACUCCGGUCCAAAGAUUUAUCGCCCAGGGAUCGGCCCGCGUCUGAUUAGGUAGUUGGUGGGGUAAUGGCCUACCAAGCCGACGAUCAGUAGCUGGUCUGAGAGGAUGAUCAGCCACACUGGGACUGAGACACGGCCAGACUCCUACGGGAGGCAGCAGUUAGGAAUAUUGGACAAUGGGCGAAAGCCUGAUCCAGCCAUGCCGCGUGUGUGAUGAAGGCCUUAGGGUUGUAAAGCACUUUCAGAUGUGAAGACGAUGACGGUAGCAUCAGAAGAAGCCCCGGCUAAACUCGUGCCAGCCGCCGCUGUAA